rnacentral:rRNA from 1 species
UACGUAGGGUGCAGGCGUUGUCCGGAAUUAUUGGGCGUAAAGAGCUCGUAGGCGGUCUGUCACGUCGGCUGUGAAAACCCGGGGCUCAACCCCGGGCCUGCAGUCGAUACGGGCAGACUAGAGUGCGGUAGGGGAGACUGGAAUUCCUGGUGUAGCGGUGAAAUGCGCAGAUAUCAGGAGGAACACCGGUGGCGAAGGCGGGUCUCUGGGCCGUAACUGACGCUGAGGAGCGAAAGCGUGGGGAGCGAACAGG